GAUGAAGAACGCAGCGAAAUGCGAUAAGUAGUGUGAAUUGCAGAAUUCAGUGAAUCAUCGAAUCUUUGAACGCACAUUGCGCCCCUUGGUAUUCCAUGGGGCAUGCCUGUUCGAGCGUCAUUUGUACCUUCAAGCUCUGCUUGGUGUUGGGUGUUUGUCUCGCCUCUGCGUGUAGACUCGCCUCAAAAUAAUUGGCAGCCGGCGUAUUGAUUUCGGAGCGCAGUACAUCUCGCGCUUUGCACUCAUAACGACGACGUCCAAAAGUACAUUUUUACACUCUUGACCUCGGAUCAGGUGGGACUACCCGCUGAACUUAAGCAUAUCAAUAAGCGGAGA
rnacentral:misc_RNA from 1 species